UCAAGCUUCAUAACGAUUGCAUCAGUAUUAUUGCGUGAUUAAAAAUAAUAAGUUGAUUUCUUUUUUUUACUUUAUUAUUGUUUUGUCGUUUACAUAUUUGCGGUCAGCACGGUAUUCAUAUUGACUCUGAUAUGACUUGGAAAACACAGAUUGAUCACGUUUGUACAAAAGUAAAUCAGUACUCCUAUGCACUUUACUUGUUACGAAAAGUAGCUAAUCAAUUUGCACUUCUGAGCGCUUAUCAUGCGUUUGCAGGCUCAACGCUCAAGUAUGGAAUUCUCUAUUGGGGAAAUUCCUCAGGAAGAGAAAAAGCUUUUAAAAGCCAAAAAAAUGUGUUCGUUCCAUAUGUGGAAUACAGGAAACAGAGUCGUGCAAGCCAUGUUUUAAGAAAUUGAAAAUUUUGACAUUUCCCUCACUUUAUCUCUAUGAAGCUGCAGUUUUAAUAAAAUCUAAUAUUACUGAUUAUGAAACUCUAAAAAGCAAAAGACAUUGUCAUAUUAUUCGAGUCACAAAGUGUAACACAACAGUAUACAAUAACAGUAUAUUCUGCAUGGGUCUGAAAGUAUACAAUAAAUUGCCCCAAUAUAUAAAAGACAUUAAUCAUUUGCAUCUAUUUAAGAAGGAACUAAAGAAGAUACUAAUUGACAAAGCAUACUACACUCUAAAUGAAUAUAUGACAGAUAGUUUUAAAAAUUAAACAAACGAUAAAUGACUGCGUUGUAUUGCCAUGAGACAAGAGACAAGACAAAUUUUGAUGUAGUGGUUUUCUUUUUUUUCUGUAAUCUAUUAUAAUGAAGACAUUGUGACAUAUGAAAUUGAGUAAUAUUUAUAUUAAGAGAAGAUUUGCACGCCAUUUAUGGUAAAAUAUGGAGGCGUAAUAACCUAUUAAUGUAACAUCUGUCAUACCCAUAUUUGAGCAAAUAAAUUAUAUUAUUAUUA